UAGCUAGUUGGUGGGGUAAGGGCCUACCAAGGCGACGAUCGGUAGCUGGUCUGAGAGGAUGGCCAGCCACACUGGAACUGAGACACGGUCCAGACUCCUACGGGAGGCAGCAGUGGGGAAUAUUGGACAAUGGGGGCAACCCUGAUCCAGCAAUGCCGCGUGUGUGAAGAAGGCCUGAGGGUUGUAAAGCACUUUCAGUGGGGAGGAGGAUUGAUUGUUUAAGAGAUGAUUAGUUGGACGUUACCCACAGAAGAAGCACCGGCUAACUCCGUGCCAGCAGCCGCGGUAAUACGGAGGGUGCGAGCGUUAAUCGGAAUUACUGGGCGUAAAGGGUGCGUAGGUGGUUGUAUAAGUUAUCUGUGAAAUUCCUGGGCUUAACCUGGGGUGGUCAGAUAAGACUGUAUGACUCGAGUAUGGGAGAGGGUAGUGGAAUUUCCGGUGUAGCGGUGAAAUGCGUAGAGAUCGGAAGGAACACCAGUGGCGAAGGCGGCUACCUGGCCUAAUACUGACACUGAGGCACGAAAGCGUGGGGAGCAAACAGGAUUAGAUACCCUGGUAGUCCACGCUGUAAACGAUGUCAACUAGCUGUUGGUUAUAUGAAUAUAAUUAGUGGCGC
rnacentral:rRNA from 1 species